AUGCAUGUCCCGCGUGGUAAGCUAUUUAUUGCGGCAGCUAAUGAACGAGUGGACAUAUGCUAUGAUUCAUUCACUGCAGAGGCAUUGGCAGUCAGAUUUUGUUUGAAUCUAGCCAGAACCAUUGGAUGCAGCAAGAUCGUGAUCAACUCGGAUAGCAUGGAGGUUGUGGAAGCUUUGAGAGCAGGCAACUCCUCUUCGGUGGCAAGUGCAAUUAUUGAUGAUUGCUAUUUCAUGUUGUCAGAUUUUAAUCAUGUAAUUUAUGAUCAUUGUAAUAGAGAGAGUAAUAAAGUAGCUCAUGAACUUGCUAGGAUAGUUAAGUUUUCUCCUCCUAUCUGGAUGGAUUCGGCACCGGAUGUACUGCUUCCAUUACUUGUAAACGAUGCCACUAUUUUGCUAAGUGAAUAA
rnacentral:rRNA from 1 species